AGAAGACAACGAGCUCAAAUGUGAUCUCCCAAGUCCUGGGGGCUGCUUUGCUUCCCCUGUCCAGACACACCCUCACCUCGUCGUGGGCUCCUUUUGGAAAAAGGCGGAACCUCAUUGUACUCCGGGGCCCCCCCACUGCUGUCCUCUCUGUUCCUACCGGAGACCUGGCCAUGCUCUAUUGCCAGGGGAUAGAAUGCAGAGGCCCAGUGUGACCCCAACGCCUUCUUCAAGGGCCCAGAUCCCUCCCUUUCAAACCAGAACUCCCAGGGGCCAGUGGCACCACAAUGGACAGAGUGGAGGGGGUGCUUACCUUCUCAGGAAGCAGGGUACUGAGUCUUGGGGCUUCAGGCUGCUGAGCCAUGUGCUACAGACACCAUGGUGCAAGGGACCUUGGCCAUCUGCAAGGACAACACAGACUUGACCAACAUCAUCCCCCACCGCCCCCAUCCCAGGGGGCGAAUUGUCCCAGAGGCUCCCCCCAGACCAAUGAGCCUCCUGGGAGUGUCCACUCAGGCUCCCUGUGGGCUUUAGGGAGGGGGCAAUUCUUCUCCCGGUUCUGUGGUCCACCCUCUAUGCAGCCAGAGCUGGGGAAAGCUGAAAGGUGCAUCAAGAGUGGGCCAGCUUCUCCUUCUGCCACUCCAGGAACAGUCUCAGAGAAGGCAUGUGUACAAGGUCACUCAGGUAGCAGUAAAAUCAGAUGACAGCUCAGCUUCCCUGACUCCUACUCUAAUGCUCCUUCCAAGAGUUUCCCCAGGGACCCUCCCGGCCCACCACUCAGCUCCGAUGGCAGUCAAUGCGCCACCGUCUUCAUGAGGUAAAGCCCUUGCUGGUAGGAGCUCUGAGCGAUGGACAGCUUCCUGAGCAUUCUGGUCUGCUCUGACACCCUGCCUCCCUGGGGGCCCCUCCUGGGCCUGUGGAAACCCCCACUUGCUCCAGGUUACAUUCCCUUCCCAAAGGCCCGGCAUUUAAAGCUAUCCCAACCAACCUGAGAAGAACUCCCUUUUUCCCUCUGAAUGGGAUCUGGCUCUCACAAGAUGUACCCACCUCCCCUCUCGCUGUCUGAGCCCUGAAACUUGACCUGCGAAGAUGUUGUCCAGCAGAGCAGGCAGAGUCUGCCCAUCAUCUGGAAACUGCGUGACCGUGCUAUGCACGCAGCUUUGCCAACCCAGGCAGUGCUCAGUUACAGAGGGCAGGACAAGGGCACAGUCCAUCCAGUGUAGUAGCCAAGUCCAAGUAGACAAGGUUUUGGACCUCCCAGUCUCUGUUAGCCCAUCCCCUAUCCUCUGCCCUCAUAGCACCCCGUGCUUCUUAGCACCCACAUCAUGACAACUGCCUAUUUUGAUGAGUCUCUCUUCACUACCCCCUCUAGACGGGAAGCUCCACGAGGUCAGAAGCUACAAGUGCUGUGUUUCCACGCCCACCAUCAUGGCAAGCACAGAGAGAUAUGAAAUAAGCCAUCACUGAGUGAGUGAGCAAUCAAGGCAUCAUCAACCCUGCACCCGGCUAGACUAUCAGGAGAGCUCCACCAGGAGGGUGGUGCGGCUGGAGAAGGGAAAAAGAAGCCUCUGGUGACGCCACCAGGAUUUCCUCCCGAGCUCCCUGAUGGGCGGGCUGACUUUGCCAGGAAAUGUGCCCUGUUUUCAUUUUCCUUCUCAGUUCGGGCAAUGUCCUUCCCUGCCAAAAAUGUUCUUGAAAGUUCUUAAGAAAGAGCCAAAUGGUUUGAGUUUCUCUUUGCCCGCCGCCCUCCACCUUUGGUGAAAGGGUUUAGUGACAAAGGACGGUAGUAAAGCAGAUGCCUAGUUCUUAAGCUGGAAGACUGGCCCGCAGUUAAUGGAGACCAGACCUAAAGGCACCGAAGGUCACAGGGGUUACCGGCCAAGCUGGUCCUACCCAUGACAUCAUGGCUAAUGCCAGUGCACACUUCUCUCCUUUCAAAGACUGACUUGCUCUGGUCCUUCCUUCAUUAUAUUAAACCUGUGGAACAUCACCCAAGCAGCCCCGCGGUCUCCCCUACCUGGACUGGGGACUCUGUAGAUUCCGUUGUGAUUUGAGCCUCAGGGUGAA